rnacentral:rRNA from 1 species
UACAGAGGGUGCGAGCGUUAAUCGGAAUUACUGGGCGUAAAGCGCGCGUAGGCGGCUUUGUAAGUCGGUUGUGAAAUCCCCGGGCUUAACCUGGGAACUGCAUCCGAGACUGCAUGGCUAGAGUAUGGGAGAGGGAAGUGGAAUUUCAGGUGUAGCGGUGAAAUGCGUAGAUAUCUGAAGGAACAUCAGUGGCGAAAGCGACUUCCUGGACCAAUACUGACGCUGAGACGCGAAAGCGUGGGGAGCAAACAGG